CAUGCCGACGGCGUCGAGUCCACACUGACCGCCGAGGCCUGACUGCUUUGAUCCCUGACCCUCGGCCAAAUGGUGCGGCUGCAGCGCGGCCACUCGCUGUUUUACAGCAGCAGUUUGGACCACUCACUUCCUGCUCGCCGCCCGGACGGACCAAUCGUUUAUCAGCACCUACACUCCUGGACGUCCUUCCUGGUCAGACGCAGACUUCAACACCUGCAGUCCAGAGGUCACCAGGUACGCUUCCUGGACGCUCACCCACCUCACCCGGCUCAGUGCCGCCCGCUGCCUCCCUCACAUGUCAGAGCGCCUCCUCCAGCUCCACAGGCCGACCUGUGAAAACAAACAUCUGCUUUUUGGGGAUGAACAAAGACGGCUACAGUUGAACUGUAGGUUAAGAAGAGAGCGGAAGGGAACUGCAGAGAUGUACAGUGAGAUAUUUUCGUUGUGCAUUCUUCAGGACUAUGAAAGUAAUCUCAGAUCAAAGCUGCACAAAAGUGCCCCCCCCAACACCACCCACAUCCCCUCCAUAGCUAGUGACGUGGAACAGGACUUUAAAAGAAGAAAGAAUCACUAAAACGGUGAACAAAG